rnacentral:rRNA from 1 species
CCAGCAGCCGCGGUAAUUCCAGCUCCAAAAGCAUAUGCUAACGUUGUUGCAGUUAAAAGGCUCGUAGUCGAAUUUAUGGCCCUGUGAACCUGGCCCAUCCUCUAGUAGGGUGCGGUCGGUGUGCACGGGUCAUUUUUCUGGAGAGCAAUUCUGCCCUUGAUUGGGUUGGUCUUGUGAUUCAGAACAUUUACUGUGAGUAAAUCAAAGUGUUCAAAGCAGGCAGCAAUGCUUGUAUGGUUCAGCAUGGAAUAAUAAGAUAUGACUUUGGUUUUAUUUUGUUGGCUAUAGAACCAAAGUAAUGAUUGAAAGGGAUAGUUGGGGGUGCUAGUAUUCAAUGGUCAGCGGUGAAAUGCGAGGACCCAUUGAAGACUAACUUAUGCGAAAGCAUUCACCAAGGAUAUCUUCUUUGAUCAAGAACGAAAGG